ensembl:lncRNA novel transcript
AAAAGCACAAGCUGCCAUGGUAAUGACAGGAAGAUAUGGGUGAAAUGCCAGCCCUAAUUAGAGACUUGAUUGCUCUGUAAUAACAAGGCCUGUAUUUGAUUUGGACGGUUCUGGGUUGUCAGUUGCCGGUAUCCUGCAUAGAAUAGGCUUAAGUGAAAAGAACCUGGAGUCUGAAGAAGCACAACACUAGUGUGUUUUCAUCAUCAUGUUUUAAAUAUAAGCAGGUGUGUUACCAGAAAGGGGUCCCAAUCUAGACCCUAAGAGAGGGUUUUGGAUCUUGCACAAGAAAAGAAUUCAGGACAAAUCUACCGAGUAAAGUGAAAGCAAGUUUAUUAAGAAAGUAAAGGAAUAAAAGAAAGCCUACUCCAUAGACAGAGCAUGGUGUUCCCAGAAGGAAGAGAAGGAACACAUCCACCUUAAACAGAGCAUGGUGUUCCCAGAAGGAAGAGAAGGAACACAUCCACCUUAAACAGAGCAUGGUGUUCCCAGAAGGAAGAGAAGGAACACAUCCACCUUAGACAGAGCAUGGUGUUCCCAGAAGGAAAAGAAGGAACACAUCCACCUUAGACAGAGCAUGGUGUUCCCAGAAGGAAAAGAAGGAACACAUCCACCUUAGGAUAUUGGGACAUCAGGACAUUUUCUGGGUCUGUUAUCUCCUGGAUCUGUUAAAUCCUGGUGUUAGCGGCAGCAAAUCCAUAUGGGUCUGCAGCAACCUCAAUCCUCGCCUUCUCUGAAGAAAGAAUUCAGCCAAGGGGCAUAAGGCAGAGUGAGAGCCCAGCAGCUCUCAGCCUCAUCUGACCCAGCCCCUAUUCAAGAUGGAGACGCCCUGGUUCAGACGCCUCUGACAGAUGCUCCAAGAUGAUGUGAAGGCAGAUAUAAAGGAGGCAACUGUAGUGGAAAAAAACGAGCAGGAAGCUCUGCAUGAGGAGACCUGGGGACUGAUGCUCUCCCUCACUCCUUGAAGUUCCUAGGACAAGACACUAUCCUCUCUGAGCAUCAGUUUCCUCGUGUACUCAGUAGAGUCAACAAUAAAUUUCCUUCCACAGUUUUGAUUAGAAUAAACAUCAUCAGAACGUGAUGCUAAAAUGACUCUUUUACAUUUCAAAUCUAUUCAUUUCAUUCUCCUGUUUAAAAUCCUUCAACAUCUUGCCAUUUUAUUUGCAAUAAAAUUUAACA